AACCUGGCUUGGGAGGAAAAUCUUUGAAGAUGUCAGCCCUGCAGAGAGAGCUACAGGCAACUAAGGAAUACCAAGAGUGGGAGAAAUAGCCUUCCCCAGGGGACAGGACACUGAUCAUUUGUCCAAUACCAAAUGUCUAGUGUCACCAUGUCCAUCCAUAAUGACGCCUCUUUAGAGCACCUGCUGAGAGUAGCCCAGCCACUGUAGCAGCAAGAUCUAGCACAUCCAUCUGGUACCAGUUACAGCCCGGGGAUGCUGACCUGGCCGGAACUCAAACACCAGAGCCCAGGACCCAACCCAGAUACUAUCGAUCUGCAGUUGAUUACAUCUGUAAGCGGGGACUACAUUGAUGCAGGGGCCCAACAAUGUCUUUCAAAGAGCAAGAGGAAGACUAUUCAGUGACAUAUUUCUUGGAGAAGGUUCCAUCGAAGUGUCUGAGCUGAUACUAGCUUGCCAGACUCCACUGUGUGUCUGCUUAGAUACUUCCUGGUCCUCUGUCCCCAAUAGCCACAUGUCCUGUGGCAACACAUUUGGGAUUUCUAUGACCUUGACC